UACGUAGGGUGCAAGCGUUGUCCGGAAUUAUUGGGCGUAAAGAGCUCGUAGGCGGUCUGUCGCGUCUGCUGUGAAAACCCGAGGCUCAACCUCGGGCCUGCAGUGGGUACGGGCAGACUAGAGUGCGGUAGGGGAGAAUGGAAUUCCUGGUGUAGCGGUGAAAUGCGCAGAUAUCGGGAGGAACACCGGUGGCGAAGGCGGUUCUCUGGGCCUUACCUGACGCUGAGGAGCGAAAGCGUGGGGAGCGAACAGG
rnacentral:rRNA from 1 species